AUUUCAGUGCUAGACUGCUGGCAGCAGUAGUGUAGUACUACUUUUCACCGAGGCCAAGCCCCCAAACACAGAGAGAUAAACGAGAACACCAUGCGGAAGUGACAAGCCGGGAGAGGAGAAGGAAACGAGACUCAAAUGGCGGGAAGUGAGCAGCCUCAAAACCCAAACGAAGCAGCUCCUGAACCCAUGAAUAAAGGCCUGUGGCAGAUUCACUACUCUUGCUUCUUCAGCUUUCCUUUUUUCCCCUCAACUUGUCACAUCCUUAAGCCUCUUACUUCCAGUUGCAUCAACAGAAACCCUUGUGGCAGAUGGGUCUCUUAUUCUUCAAUGGCCUUUCUGCAUCUCAUAAGUGAUUACCGCGUUCGUGGGGUCGUCCUUAUUGUCUCAUUUCACGGGAUAGUCUAUGAAGAACACCAGAUUUCCAAUCUGGUUUUCUCUUGGCCUCAGGUUUCAUGUCUGGAGGAACGCCCAGUUAGAGGUAGCAUAGUUGUAUUUUCAAGUUACAGAGAUAGCUUAGGGCAGGUUCAAAAGUUUGCCAUGUACUUUUCAUCAUCUUCUGACUCACAAACAUUCAUAAACUCUUUAAAGGUACCUGUUGAGAUAUUGAGCAAUGUGAAUCCUAAUGGGAAUUAUGAACCUAUAGCACAGCUCAUAUCAGGUCAUGAAAGCAUAAAACAUAUAUGUUCCAAGGAACCAAUGCUUGCUCAUGGCUUGGAUGCCACUUGUGCUUCCUUACCUCCAAGCUUCAUAGCUCUUCUCUUUGACUCUUGCCCCCAGGCAGAAGAAGAACCACUAAAACAACCUGAUUCAUUUUAUCUGAACACCCAAUAUGUUGAGGAAACUAGAGAUGGUCAUUGGUGAACUGGGAGGAGACUUGGCACUGUGAUGACCAAUGGUUUUGCAGCAACAGCGGAAGUUAAACUCUUAUCAUCUCUCAUCCUUGAGCCUGCCACUUAAUGUAUGAACACCAGUUUUUCCUUAGAACCUCUCAUAUGCUGCAAUCUGACCCACAUGGAACAAUUGUAGAGGAAGCCUGCAGGCGUGCAAAAAUAUCAGCCUCACAAGCAAAAGAAGAUGAAUAUGCAGAAGAGAAGAGGAAGUAGAUGAGAUGUACACAAUUGUAAAAUAACAAAAAAAAAGAAAAAGGUGCUCGUUAAGAGAUAUUUUAGUAAAUGGCUGAAUGAAACCAGAGACUGCAGUGCAGAGUGUAGAGGCAGUAGGACAUGCCCAUAGCUGCUUUUCUUGGUCUAAAUCCCAAACCAGAAUAAGACAAUAUUAUACUGAAAGAAGGGGGAUUGCUGUUUACAUGUUAAACUGUCUUCUUGCAAAAUUAAAUAAAUUUUAAUCAUUAGUUUGCUAGA